rnacentral:rRNA from 1 species
AUGUCAAACACUCACAGCAUUGGGAAGGUGAUGUUCCUAACAGCUGUUGCCAAGCCUCGAUAUAACAAUGAGGGGGAGCUAACAUUCGAUGGGAAGAUCAGCAUUUGGGCAUUCGUCGAAGAGAUUGAGGCAAAGCGGACAAGUCAAAAUAGAACAAAGGGAACAAAAGUGUUGACAUUAGUGAAAGAUAAGUGGCCUGACGAUGAUGAGGGAGCGACAAUAUUCAUCCAACAGGAUAACGCAAAGCCUCAUGUCCUUCCCAAUGAUGUAGCUUUUCAAGAAGCUGUGGAACAAACUGAUCUUGACAUCCGAUUGCUACAACAGCCCCCAAAUAGCCCCGAGUUAAAUUGUUUGGACCUUUGCUUCCAUAACUCUCUCCAAUCUCUAACCGACUGCAGGUCACCUACAAACAUCCAGGAACUGGUACAGGGUGUGGAAGAGGAAUUCGAGAACUACGAUCCCGACAAGUUGCACAGAAGCUUUAUCACAUUAGAAGCAGUUAUGUUUGAAGUUAUGAAAGCCAAAGGAGGAAAUCAAUAUAAGUUGCCCCACUUGCACAAGGAUCGCGUUCAGAAUGCUGGAAUGGAAAUAACCGGUGUAUAUUGCGACAGUCGGGUAGUUGUUGAUACGAGGGUCAUUAUAGAAUAA